rnacentral:rRNA from 1 species
UGGGGAAUAUUGCACAAUGGGCGGAAGCCUGAUGCAGCGACGCCGCGUGAGGGAUGACGGCCUUCGGGUUGUAAACCUCUUUCAGCAGGGAAGAAGCGCAAGUGACGGUACCUGCAGAAGAAGCACCGGCUAACUACGUGCCAGCAGCCGCGGUAAUACGUAGGGUGCGAGCGUUGUCCGGAAUUAUUGGGCGUAAAGAGCUUGUAGGUGGUUUGUCGCGUCUGCUGUGAAAAUCCGAGGCUCAACCUCGGACUUGCAGUGGGUACGGGCAGACUAGAGUGUGGUAGGGGAGACUGGAAUUCCUGGUGUAGCGGUGGAAUGCGCAGAUAUCAGGAGGAACACCGAUGGCGAAGGCAGGUCUCUGGGCCAUUACUGACACUGAGGUGCGAAAGCGUGGGGAGCAAACA